UGUCUUUUCACAUCACCGACCCAACCAUUAAUGAUAGCAGGUUUUCAAUAAUGACUUUUAAUUUUUUCUACUACCUCUUCUCAAAAGCUUUCAUUUUCCCUUUCAUUCAAUCCGGAUACCUUGGCCGAAAAUUCUCCAGUGCUUGACGAACACAUUCUGGAAUUCCUCCCACCAAGUAAUAACUUUCUCUCUUCUUUAGGGCCUCAUUUGCAAUAACAUGGGCGUAUAUAUUCCCUAUUUUUGAGACAAAAUGAAACUCAAUCUCCUGAAAUCUGUCUUUUUUGCUUUGUAUAUCUUUGGUAAUUGCUCCAAUGGCCGAUUUACCUAUAUCAGUACUUUGGCAUUUCUUUAUAACAGUUUUUGAAUCUCCCACUACUUCCAUUUUGUUAAAGCCCAUAAAAAUUCCUAAUUUCAUUGCCUGUAACCCUACAUGUGCCUCUGCCGUGAACGGAGUUGCUAUCUCGGAGUGAAAAACAGUCUUUGAUGCUAGGAUCUCCCCCACUUCAUUUCGUACAAGCAGGCCUGUAGUUGAUCUGGAAGAUUGAUGGUCAAAGGCUGCGUCAAAAAGAACUGUGACCCUUGUUCUUUGAUAAUCCUGUUGAAUAUUUCCAUCAGACUGAAGGAUUAACCAGAGUCCACAGCAGAAUAAUCGGAUCUGUUCAUUAGUCUCCUUACAUAAGCCCCAGGGCACUAUUGAAAAAUAUGGCUAUUGUCUUCCUCAUUUUGACGACAUUGAGGGCACUGAUCUUCCACCACGACUCUUUUAUGUCUGAGGUUAACAAGGGACAGAAUAAAGUUCCAAGAGAUUCUCCAUACUGUAAUUAUAAUUUUUGAGGGGAUGUAUAAUUUCCACAGUUUCCUAUAGAAAUUUUUAGUUCGGCGUGUAAACUAUAACUACUAGGAUCGAAGUUAGUCUCUUGUAAUAGUUUAUAGGUGCUCCUGACUUAGAAAUCCCUGGACAGUUCCCUUCUCCAUACUUGAAAAUCUUCAUGUGUUGUCUCCGCCAGUGGAAUCUGCAAGAUUUUUUUUGCUACAUCCAAUCGAAAGAAAUUUGAUCACCUCUCUCAACCCUCUAGCAUAAACCUUUCUCCAGAAGCCCUCUUGCUGCCCAGACACUCUUCCAGGUAAGCGAAGAUCAAAAAAUACAAAAUCCGGGGCUAGACCGGGGGAAGGCUAAGCUAGUAGACUAAAUCCAACUAGUCACCCACUUUUUGUAUACUGAGUGCCCCCAAGCUAGCAUCGGGAAUCAAGGGACGUCAGAGGCAUUAGUCACAUUAUCACCUGAAGCUUUUGGUAUAGUUAGUUUAAAUGUUUUGAGUGUGGCAAGUAAAGGGACUUAUUUUUUUUGUUUAGUGUCAUUUAGUUUAGCCACAAGUGUUGGCUUAUAUGGAUGUAAUAUUCAUUUUGUAUAGGCCAUUGAUAUUGGCUAAUAUUGAUUACUAUUAAAUCUAUUUGAUGAAAAUUCUCAUGGA